rnacentral:lncRNA from 1 species
AUGGUCCCACUUUUUAUGGCACUAAAUUAUCGAACCAUAAUUGUGGAGUUAGUGGGUCAUUAAUUUUCACUAAUUGCCAUGACACGUAGUCGAUAAUCGUUCAUAACGGUUAUAGUAUGUUGAGUAGAUUGGCUGACUAUAUGUCGGUAGUAUUGAUAUGUCGGUUGAAUGUCCGAGUGAUCAUCGGCUAGUUCUGAUGUGCCGACGGUCUUAGAUCGAAGGUUAUUCAAAUUGUUUGCUGU